GCUUUCCCCAUGUCGAACUUUCCAACUUGCAUACGUCAUUGCAGCAAAUUAACGCUACGGAAACGGAAAUAUAAUAAGAAGCCACAUAAAUCAAACGGAUCCCAUUAUGCUGGAGGGGGUGAAAAGAAAGCAGCCAGCUACCAAGGCGACUUCUUUAAAUAAUUCUAGACCCUGACGAGCACAAAAGCUCACAUCCGCACACAAAUAAACGAGGGGAAUAUUUAUCAAUGGAGCGCGAGAGACAAGGUAAAUAUAAUGCCAGUACCAGUCCUUUUGUCAACUGUAUUGUAAGACGUGAGAGGGGAGGAGAGAAAUUGUGGAGGGGAAGGACAAGCGCUUGCAGCUUUUUCGCCCUGUUUGUUUAGGCCAACUCACCGACUUAAGGAGUCUCCUGCCUCCACGGAGCUUUCAAUUCCAAUUUAAAUAUUUAGAGAGCAUCAGCAUUUGGCACCUCUUUGAACUCCGUUGGCAUCAAUCAGCGAAAGCAACAGGACUCGGAAUUGAUGUCCCUCCCCCUCACCAAAGCGCCGAUGAAAUUUUUAAUUGAAAUUAGCAUUCGAAAUUUCUACCAGUCACCGCAAAAUUGCUGCGGCUUUUUCCUGUAAAACAGAAUUUCAUGCCGUGGGCUGCCAAGUUAUAAUUACAAUUGAAAUGGGGGCGUGGGUUUUGCCAGCGGUAGUGGGCGGAACUGGGCGUGUUGUUGGACGAAAGCCAAAAAUUGAACAAGCCUAAUCAGAAGCGUUGGUGGCAAUUCGGAUAGCAUUUCUUGUGAAACUAUUUCCCUUUUCAAUUCCAUGAAUUUCAAAGAGGACCUCUCCCUAUCAUGUCCUAUCAAAUCAAAUCAACAUGAACUGAAGGCCAGCGAAGUGAGAACAUUCAUCGAAAUAUUUCUAUUUAUAUACAAAUAAGCGAAUUAAAUUCCAUUCUGCGAAAAAAUGAAA